ACUCCGAUAAUUUGAGCUGCGAGUCUGCGACUGUGCAACCAACUUCAAAACUCAUUUACCAGAUGUCGCUAGUGUUACCAUUGUUGUUUUUGCAUCGUGAAACGAGGCAAAAUAGGCGAAACAAUUGGAUGCUAAUUAAUACUUAUAUUCCUGUGAUUUCAUAUACCAAAUUGAACUUCGUAACUUAUGUAGAUGCAUACUGUCAGUCAUUCCAAAAAGUUGACUUAGCGCUCAGUCACUUUCCAUCCAAUAGACCCAUCAUGUUGUCAAAAGCCUAAAACUAAUGUGUGAAGCUCACAUAUCGUGGAAUACAAAUGUGUGGAGACAAGGUAUUUCCCCAUUACUGCUACCACACCAACCACACCAAACCAAUCGCCUUACUAAAUUCAGCACAAGGAAAUUUACCUCAACCUAAGGAGUAAGGCUGUUGGUUGCUGUGAUUUCCAUUCUUACGAUUUUUAUCAUGAAAACUUCCGUGUGCUUGUUAGUAUAGAGCACAUAAUAGAUCCUUAAGCCAAUGCUGACCUUUGUCCAUGAAGGAAGAGGGACAUCAAGCAACGUUCUGCUCCAUCCUUAUCUUCCCAACGUACGCUCAUCUAGCUUCACUGCUUUUGCUGCUACAACUUGUCUUAUUACUUCACCGACGAGUUGGAACACUUCAGUGGUCGCUACCCUUUGCUGUUACACACCUGCAGUUACUCACCACGGGAUUAUGCCCAGGUAAUGCAGAGGAAAUUUCGAGAAGAUGGACACCAUAACGUCGCCGGUAUCUCCAAAGUGUCAGCGCGGAUCAUCAUUUGUUGUUGGUAAUAUGUGUUCGUUUGUGUUAGUUAACCCGUUGUCUGCCACGCCUUUGUUCUCCCCUAGCUCCUUUGCACGGGCCGCGCUGGCCGGCCUCGUGGAUUUCAUGCCGCGAGGUCGGAGUGUCGCCAAGCCCAAAAUUUGCCGCAAGGCAAGCCUGUUAGGAAAUGCACCAUAGGGACUUCCCCCUUGUCGAUACGGUGAUGGAUUCUCCUGUCACCGUGUCA